rnacentral:lncRNA from 1 species
UGAUCUUGUGUCUUUGAGUAGCAAACCAUCCUUGGCGCCAACCCAUAGGCUCAGGGAGACGUCCACAGUUCAAAGGAGAGCUAGUAGCCUCUUAGACAUCCUCUAUCCAUCCACCUUCAAGUGAUCCAGAGUUUAAGCCAUACCCAGGCUGCACCAAGUGGUAUCAGAGCCACUUGAAGGUUAGGGUUUGCAAUUUGACUACUCAGAUCAUUCAUUCCAUCAAACACUUCUCUUAUCUUUCUAUCUGUUGUAAGCCAGCUGAGCCAACCCUGCAAAAAAAAAAAAAAAGAAAAGAAAAGAGAUCUCUGAUCCAAAUCAAAAAAAAAAAAUAUAUAGCUGAAGAGUAAUCCAGCUAGCUGAGGAGAAAUCCAGCUCAGGGUGGUAAAGUCAGCUGGUGCCUAAAUCUCUUAAUACUUCCUAUC